CCAAUGCCUGUGAAAUUUGCUUUGGAAUUUUCAUGGAUCAGCACAGAACUGAGAGGCUAUCAUCUCCACAUCUGAAAAAUUUUACUCUGCCUCUUUUGAAGAAGUAUAGUGCUCCAGGUGCACCUGAAGAAUGAAAAACAUUUUACUAAAACAUGGGACUCUCACACGUGAUGAGCAGAUUUACUCCCUUCAAGCUACGAACACUUUGGCAGAGAAUCUCAGCCCUGUGUUAGCAGCUGCAGUCGUGAAAGAGAAAAUGACAUUAUGUGUUAUGAUGCUGCUUCCCUGUUUUGCCCUGUUGUUACUUUGUGAUAUGGCAGGAACUGAAAUAGAAGUUGCAAGCUCUGAGUGAUCUGCUUAAUAAACACUGAGUGUGAAUUCAUAAGUAGUCCCUGGAGCAACUGUACCAUAAGGAGGAGUAAGAGCUUUCUCCCAAAAGCCAAGAAGCCUUACAGACUCCAAACAUAAAAUAUCCAACCAGUUGACCAAUGGGAUUUCGUCUUCCUGUCCGUGUCUGUCUGGAAAAGGUGUGUGCAGCUUAACAUGUUUCCAAGGCCUUACAGGACUGGGUCCCACUUGGCAGUGGCAGAAGAACACAAGGAGGAUGCACAUUCCCCUUUUUUUGCUAUAUACAACUGCAUAAUGGCUCAGUAGCCUAAACAUAGCUUGGGCUGACUGUUUUGGAUACUGCCCAGUGCUCAGAAUAAUGUCAAUAACUGUAAGAAGUUGGACUUUCUAUGACUGUGCCAUAGGGCAACAGGGCUCCUUGUGCCACCAGGCCACUACUGGCAGCACUUCAAACUGGAUGAUUAACACAGGUCUUUAACAGAGAUUAAACUGGCUUACAAAACUGA